AAUCAUUUUCAUUUUUUUUCUGUUUGUAAUCUUUAUAUUUUUAUCCUAAAAUGCCCGCAGGAUGAAUUGGCUUAGCUGGAUAUCUUGCCAAGAUUUCUUUAAACUGGUCUUCCCUUCCACUCUUUCUGCUUUAUAAGACAAUACUGCUCAUAAUUGAUCAUCACAUUUUUCUUCAUGAGAUUUAAGAGGCAACUGAAAUUGACCAGAGUGAGAGUAAGAACUGGGUGAGCCUCUGGGAUAUAGGAAGAGUGAUAUCCAGAUUUCCUGAGAAGAUAGUAGUUCUCUCAUGUGGGCAUGUCUUGUUUCUUUUUUAUGGUGCACUAACCUUGUAGGAAAGCUAUCUGAAGAGAUUACUUGUAUCUGAAUUUUCUUCCUCUUCCACACAUAAAGAAGACUAGAAAAGCAAAACCCUUUGGAAAUAUGUAUGGUCAUCCAAAACAUGUUCCUACAUUAGCCAUGUCU
rnacentral:lncRNA from 1 species